rnacentral:lncRNA from 1 species
GGAGGAGACCGGCGCGGGUGCUGGAGGGCAUCCACAUUAAUCUGGAUAAAGGCUGCUUCUUCAGCCACAGCUAAGGUGCAUGUAAUAGGAAUGAGAGCCACCUGUGUUUCAGAAAGCGUCUGGGAUUUUAGAGCUGCUUGUAACUGCAGCCUAACACAGCCUCAGCCGACUGAUACAUCCAGUGUCGUCAAAACAGAGCAGUUAUCCUUCAUGAAUUCCACUGGGGAUUCUGCUAUACAGCUUCAUAAGAAACUCUGGGGGUAUCAUAUCUCAAACCAAGCUCCAUCUUCUUCCUCCAGUUUAAAAGACCAGCAUCUUCAUGGAGACAGUGACUGAAACCACAAAGUGAACCAAGCAGCCGGCUCAUUGUUUGAGAAACAGUUGUUUCAUGGGUGAAUUGACCUCAUCUUCGGCAGCCACCGGUUUGCUAAGCAUUUACUUUGAACAUUUCUAUG